GAGGCGUACUCAGCGCUUGUGACUUUGCCCUACUAGUGUGUGCGUUCGCGUGCACUCAUAGAGGGCGUUUACUGUGAGAAAAUUAGAGUGUUCAAAGCAGGCGUUUCGCUCGAAUACGUUAGCAUGGAAUAAUAGAAUAGGACGAGGGUUCUAUUUUGUUGGUUCUAGGACCGUCGUAAUGAUUAAUAGGGAUGGUCGGGGGCAUCAGUAUUCAGUAGUAAGAGGUGAAAUUCUUGGAUUUACUGAAGACUAACUGCUGCGAAAGCGUUUGCCAAGGACAUCUUCAUUAAUCAAGAACGAAAGUUAGGGGAUCGAAGACGCUUAGAUACCGUCGUAGUCUUAACCGUAAACUAUGCCGACUCUGAAUCGGCCUCUUGAACUUUAUGGGAGGUCGGCGCAGUGUGAGAAAUCAAAGUUUUUAGGUUCUGGGGGGAGUAUGGUCGCAAGGCUGAAACUUAAAGGAAUUGACGGAAGGGCACCACCAGGAGUGGAGCCUGCGGCUUAAUUUGACUCAACACGGGGAAACUCACCAGGUCCAGACUUCUGUAGGAUUGACGCAUUGGCGAUGCUUCAUGAUUAGAAGGGUGGUGGUGCAUGGCCGUUCUUAGUUCGUGACGUAAGUUGUCUGCUUUAUUGCGAUAACGAGCGAGACCUCGGCCGCUAGUUGCCGGAACCCAUCUUGUAUGGGCUUCCGGCUCUUAGCGGGACUACCGG
rnacentral:rRNA from 1 species